GCCUGGGAUAGCUCAGUUGGCAGAGCAUGAGACACUUGAUCUCAGGGUCAUGGGUUCAAGCCCCACACUGGGCA